AGAAAAGAGAAGUAGAGGGAGGAAAGAGACCAAGGGGUGAGUGAGGCAACUGAAAACUGUUCUUGGACCUGCAGUGCUGUAGAGCAGAUACGGCCUGUUCACCUCAAACACAGAUUAAGGACCAGCACUGUUACCAUGGAUGUAGCACGCCUACACUGAAGAGAUAAGCGCUUGCAGGCACUGCCAUCAUGUGGCUAUGUUUGAAAAUGAAUUCUGCCCAGUCCUAGAGGAAAAAUAAAGCAACAGCAGAAAGAGCCC